rnacentral:rRNA from 1 species
UACGAAGGAUCCAAGCGUUGUCCGGAUUUACUGGGUUUAAAGGGUGCGUAGGCGGACUAUUAAGUCAGUGGUGAAAGCUGGUAGCUUAACUAUCAAACUGCCAUUGAAACUGAUAGUCUCGAGUAUAGUUGAGGUAGCUGGAAUGUAUCAUGUAGCGGUGAAAUGCUUAGAUAUGAUACAGAACACCAAUUGCGAAGGCAGGUUGCUAAACUAUAACUGACGCUGAGGCACGAAAGCGUGGGGAGCAAACAGGAUUAGAUACCCUGGUAGUCCACGCCCUAAACGUUGAUUACUCGCUGUUGGCGAUACACUGUCAGCGGCUAAGCGAAAGCGGUAAGUAAUCCACCUGGGGAGUACGGUCGCAAGAUUGAA